rnacentral:rRNA from 1 species
ACGAACGCUGGCGGCGUGCCUAAUACAUGCAAGUAGAACGCACAGUUUAUACCGUAGCUUGCUACACCAUAGACUGUGAGUUGCGAACGGGUGAGUAACGCGUAGGUAACCUGCCUGGUAGCGGGGGAUAACUAUUGGAAACGAUAGCUAAUACCGCAUAAUAUUGAUUAUUGCAUGAUAAUUGAUUGAAAGAUGCUAUUGCAUCACUACCAGAUGGACCUGCGUUGUAUUAGCUAGUAGGUGAGGUAACGGCUCACCUAGGCGACGAUACAUAGCCGACCUGAGAGGGUGAUCGGCCACACUGGGACUGAGACACGGCCCAGACUCCUACGGGAGGCAGCAGUAGGGAAUCUUCGGCAAUGGACGAAAGUCUGACCGAGCAACGCCGCGUGAGUGAAGAAGGGUGUCGGAUCGGAAAGCUCGGUUGUAAGAGAAGAACGGGUGUGAGAGUGGAAAGUUCACACUGUGACGGUAUCUUACCAGAAAGGGACGGCUAACUACGUG